AUCCCUUCUCAGCCUUUUGGCUGAGAUCAAGUGUAGUAUACGCAUUCCUACCCACUUUCAAUCACAUGCAAAUUAAGGGGCAGGCUAAUGCAAAUUAAGGGGCAGGUUAAUGCAAAUUAAGGAGUGGGUUUUUAGAGUUUUCUAGGAAAGAGGUAGCAACUUCCUGGUCAUUGCCAAGACAUUUGUACACUGUCAUGGCACUGGUAGGAGUGUC
rnacentral:snRNA from 2 species